rnacentral:rRNA from 1 species
GCAGUCGAACGGUGAAGCCAAGCUUGCUUGGUGGAUCAGUGGCGAACGGGUGAGUAACACGUGAGCAACCUGCCCUGGACUCUGGGAUAAGCGCUGGAAACGGCGUCUAAUACUGGAUAUGAGACGUGAUCGCAUGGUCGUGUUUGGAAAGAUUUUUCGGUCUGGGAUGGGCUCGCGGCCUAUCAGCUUGUUGGUGAGGUAAUGGCUCACCAAGGCGUCGACGGGUAGCCGGCCUGAGAGGGUGACCGGCCACACUGGGACUGAGACACGGCCCAGACUCCUACGGGAGGCAGCAGUGGGGAAUAUUGCACAAUGGGCGAAAGCCUGAUGCAGCAACGCCGCGUGAGGGAUGACGGCCUUCGGGUUGUAAACCUCUUUUAGCAGGGAAGAAGCGAAAGUGACGGUACCUGCAGAAAAAGCGCCGGCUAACUACGUGCCAGCAGCCGCGGUAAUACGUAGGGCGCAAGCGUUAUCCGGAAUUAUUGGGCGUAAAGAGCUCGUAGGCGGUUUGUCGCGUCUGCUGUGAAAUCCCGAGGCUCAACCUCGGGCCUGCAGUGGGUACGGGCAGACUAGAGUGCGGUAGGGGAGAUUGGAAUUCCUGGUGUAGCGGUGGAAUGCGCAGAUAUCAGGAGGAACACCGAUGGCGAAGGCAGAUCUCUGGGCCGUAACUGACGCUGAGGAGCGAAAGGGUGGGGAGCAAACAGGCUUAGAUACCCUGGUAGUCCACCCCGUAAACGUUGGGAACUAGUUGUGGGGACCAUUCCACGGUUUCCGUGACGCAGCUAACGCAUUAAGUUCCCCGCCUGGGGAGUACGGCCGCAAGGCUAAAACUCAAAGGAAUUGACGGGGACCCGCACAAGCGGCGGAGCAUGCGGAUUAAUUCGAUGCAACGCGAAGAACCUUACCAAGGCUUGACAUAUACGAGAACGGGCCAGAAAUGGUCAACUCUUUGGACACUCGUAAACAGGUGGUGCAUGGUUGUCGUCAGCUCGUGUCGUGAGAUGUUGGGUUAAGUCCCGCAACGAGCGCAACCCUCGUUCUAUGUUGCCAGCACGUAAUGGUGGGAACUCAUGGGAUACUGCCGGGGUCAACUCGGAGGAAGGUGGGGAUGACGUCAAAUCAUCAUGCCCCUUAUGUCUUGGGCUUCACGCAUGCUACAAUGGCCGGUACAAAGGGCUGCAAUACCGUGAGGUGGAGCGAAUCCCAAAAAGCCGGUCCCAGUUCGGAUUGAGGUCUGCAACUCGACCUCAUGAAGUCGGAGUCGCUAGUAAUCGCAGAUCAGCAACGCUGCGGUGAAUACGUUCCCGGGUCUUGUACACACCGCCCGUCAAGUCAUGAAAGUCGGUAACACCUGAAGCCGGUGGCCCAACCCUUG